rnacentral:rRNA from 1 species
AAUUCCGUUAACGAACGAGACCUUAACCUGCUAAAUAGCUAGGCUUAACUUCGGUUAGGUCGUCAGCUUCUUAGAGGGACUAUCGGUGUUUAACCGAUGGAAGUUUGAGGCAAUAACAGGUCUGUGAUGCUCUUAGAUGUUCUGGGCCGCACGCGCGCUACACUGAUGAAGUCAUCGAGUUAACAUCCUUUAUCGGAAGAUAUGGGUAAUCUUUUGAAACUUCAUCGUGCUGGGGAUAGAGCAUUGCAAUG